rnacentral:rRNA from 1 species
UACGUAGGGUGCAAGCGUUGUCCGGAAUUAUUGGGCGUAAAGGGCUCGUAGGCGGUCCGUCACGUCGGGAGUGAAAUCCUGGGGCUUAACCCCAGAACUGCUUCCGAUACGGGCAGACUAGAGGUAGGUAGGGGAGAAUGGAAUUCCUGGUGUAGCGGUGGAAUGCGCAGAUAUCAGGAGGAACACCGAUGGCGAAGGCAAUCCCCUGGGCCUGUACUGACGCUCAUGCACGAAAGCGUGGGGAGCAAACAGG